rnacentral:rRNA from 1 species
UGAACGCUGGCGGCGUGCCUAAUACAUGCAAGUCGAGCGAACAGACGAGGAGCUUGCUCCUCUGACGUUAGCGGCGGACGGGUGAGUAACACGUGGAUAACCUACCUAUAAGACUGGGAUAACUUCGGGAAACCGGAGCUAAUACCGGAUAAUAUAUUGAACCGCAUGGUUCAAUAGUGAAAGACGGUUUUGCUGUCACUUAUAGAUGGAUCCGCGCCGCAUUAGCUAGUUGGUAAGGUAACGGCUUACCAAGGCAACGAUGCGUAGCCGACCUGAGAGGGUGAUCGGCCACACUGGAACUGAGACACGGUCAAGACUCCUACGGGAGGCAGCAGUAGGGAAUCUUCCGCAAUGGGCGAAAGCCUGACGGAGCAACGCCGCGUGAGUGAUGAAGGUCUUCGGAUCGUAAAACUCUGUUAUUAGGGAAGAACAAAUGUGUAAGUAACUAUGCACGUCUUGACGGUACCUAAUCAGAAAGCCACGGCUAACUACGUG